CCUACGGGUGGCUGCAGUGGGGAAUAUUGCACAAUGGGGGAAACCCUGAUGCAGCGACGCCGCGUGAGUGAAGAAGUAUUUCGUUACGUAAAGCUCUAUCAGCAGGGAAGAAAAUGACGGUACCUGAGUAAGAAGCCCCGGCUAACUACGUGCCAGCAGCCGCGGUAAUACGGAGGGGGCGAGCGUUAUCCGGAUUUACUGGGUUUAAAGGGAGCGUAGGCGGCAGGGCAAGUCUGGAGUGAAAUGCGGGGGCUCAACCCCCUGAGUGCUGUUGAAACUGUACUGCUGGAGUGCAGGAGAGGUAAGUGGAAUUCCUAGUGUAGCGGUGAAAUGCGUAGAUAUUAGGCGGAACACCAGUGGCGAAGGCAGCUUACUGG
rnacentral:rRNA from 1 species